CCGACUCACGAAGAUUCCGUAUUGUCAUGGAGCGUCGCGAGCGUCGCGAGAGCGUCUUCGCCAUGACGAAAUUCCGCGAAAUAGAAUCUAUUUUUCUCGAAUCAAAAGUAUCCUAUAUUUCUUCCUCUUUCUUCUCCAUUGUCUGUCAUUCUUCGUUUAUUAGAGUUUAACAUUAUCCUUUGUGUCUUUUUUCUCCAAUAUGUGUAUAGAAAAUUGCGAAGGAAAAUGUCGGAUCAUCAGUCUUUUCGAAUUCUUUUUUUUUUCUUGUUUCAAUAAAGACGACUAUCCUUAGCAUCAAUUCUUAAUUCAAAUUAAUAUAAUACACAUAUAGGUAUAUACAUAUACAGGUAUACAUAUUAGGUGUUUCGAUUUCUUCGAAAAUGAUUGAAGAUAUUCGUGUCAGCGUUGCGUGCCUUUGAUCGUUCUCUCCGAUGGUCUAUCUACGGAUUUGGAACAUCAAACUUAUGCUGCUUAUGAACGAUCAAACGAUUUUUGGUGUUAUCAGUGCAAUAAUUCCAUUGAGGGAGAAUCCUGUUUCAAUGUUUCCAGUAAUGCCAGUUCCAUAAUUAAAAAGUGUUCGGAAUAUGAAAGAAUUUGCAUGGUGAUACAAUAUCCUUACUAUCCUAAAAUAUUCUCGGUGGAAAGAAUGUGCACGAGUACAUGUAAUUCGGGUUGCUACGAAAUUGGUGAAGUAACGAAAGCUUACGCUUGCAUUACCUGUUGUGAUAAAUCUUUGUGCAAUACCGGAACUGGAACUGCCAACGAUCUUACGAUGAAAGAAAUCAACUUCGUUUUUGCUCUUAUACUUCAAAUCAUUUUAACAAUGUAUUCGCCUUGAUUCGAUAAAAUAUUAAAAAAUAUUAAGUUUCAUGCA